rnacentral:rRNA from 1 species
UACAGAGGUCUCAAGCGUUGUUCGGAUUCAUUGGGCGUAAAGGGUGCGUAGGCGGCGCGGUAAGUCGGGUGUGAAAUCUCGGGGCUUAACUCCGAAACUGCAUUCGAUACUACCGUGCUUGAGGACUGGAGAGGAGACUGGAAUUUACGGUGUAGCGGUGAAAUGCGUAGAUAUCGUAAGGAGGACCAGUGGCGAAGGCGGGUCUCUGGACAGUUCCUGACGCUGAGGCACGAAGGCCAGGGGAGCAAACGGG